GCCUGGUUGGGUUUGGGUUUAGCGUUCUUCUCCCUUCUUUCAGAGGAGUGGGAAAUCUUUCCACCUGCUGGAAAGGGAGUUUCCCACCUACAAGAGGAACUGCCCUCAUCAGCAGAGUGAACACUGAUGCCUGGAGUAGCAGAUUGUGCAUAAGCAGACAUCUCUGUCUUUAUCUGCAGCUGCUGCAGGAAGUCAGCUGCAUGUCUUUGGUGCAGCUGCAAGAAUGACUUGACUGAUUUGCAUUCAUGGCU
rnacentral:lncRNA from 1 species